UGGGGAAUCUUGCACAAUGGAGGAAACUCUGAUGCAGCGACGCCGCGUGAGCGAUGAAGCCCUUCGGGGUGUAAAGCUCUUUCGGCAGGGACGAUAAUGACGGUACCUGCAGAAGAAGCUGCGGCUAACUACGUGCCAGCAGCCGCGGUAAUACGUAGGCAGCAAGCGUUGUUCGGAAUUACUGGGCGUAAAGAGUGUGUAGGCGGGCCGUUUAAGUUCGGUGUGAAAUCUCCCGGCUCAACCGGGAGGUGCGCCGGAAACUGGACGUGCUGGAGCGUGGGAGAGGAAAGCGGAAUUCCUGGUGUAGCGGUGAAAUGCGUAGAGAUCAGGAGGAACACCAGCGGUGUAGACGGCUUUCUGGACCAUGGCUGACGCUGAGACACGAAAGCGUGGGGAGCAAACAGGAUUAGAUACCCUGGUAGUCCACGCCCUAAACCAUGCAUACUUGGUGUCGGCCCUUCAGUGGGCCGGUGCCGGAGCUAACGCGUUAAGUAUGCCGCCUGGGGA
rnacentral:rRNA from 1 species